GUCUGUAUCCUGUUUAAGUCUGGAAAAGGAAGUGUGACCAGGGAGUAGCCGUGGCUUCGUUUUCCUUUAUUAAAUCGCAGAACUGGACUCUGAAGAUACAAAUUCAUUCGAGUUUUUACAAAUGCCAGGACUUCAAUCCCAUAACGACCCACUAAUGCACUAAAGAUCAGUCCUCCAGGUGGUAUCAGACACAGCAUUGGUUUAGAAUGUGCUUAUGGAGUUUAUGUAAAUGUAAAUUAAUUUAAAUUAAAUGUCAUGUGACUUUAUUGUCAUUUCAGCCACAGUGAACGCAUUGUAGAGUUACGCAGUACAACACACAGCGUCACGAAACAGCGUUCCUCCAGGAACAAGGUGCUCCAGAAAACAACGUAACACCAGAUACAGAACAUACAGGACCAGCACACAGGACACUACUCCAGUUUUACAUGUGCGAAUGUAAUGUUUUACACUAAAACCAAAAGUGAAGAGAGAAGAAGUAAACAGAUUACAAGCACGUCAGAACUAUCAAUCAGGGCCGAGAAUAUAAACAGCAGCUUGAAGCGGGAGGAUCCUCACCAUGGUAAUGUGGCCUUCUCUCAUGUUCAGAACUUGAGUGAGAACAUUCCGAUCUCAGCCUUCGAGGGAGGAGUGUGUUUGCUUAUGGUCCUAUAGCGUUCUCCUGCACGUCUGCACGUCUGCACACACCCACAAACACACACACACAUGUUCCUGUACCUGAUCACGUCCCACAUGCAUUUAUGUCCUGAAGCUGUUUUGAGCCGUCACACCACAGAGGUGAAAUCUGACUCCUUUAAACAAACCACACACUUGAUUGUGUCAUAAUCUGAUCUGCUGUUGUUUUACCCUGUAAUGUUUAUGUUACGGUUCCUCUGGUCAUGUGAUGAGAAUAUAAAUGUUUUCGCGUACACACAUUGAGGAUAAAGACGACCCACAGUCUGUUUAUGGUCUCAUGUAAAAGGUUUUGGGAGUUAAAUCAGUGAAGUGCACACUCGCUAACACACGGAUUCUCUUUCUCAUGCACUUCUGGCUUUACUGUGGUGAAGAUGUUCAGUUCAAACCAUGUUUAUGUUCGAGUGUUUGUGCACGACCUUUAUUUACUUUCGCGUGACAUGUGACGUGAAAGCUCUGAGGGUGUCGUCGACUCUGUGGGUGUCCGUGUAUUUUGAGGUUUUUAUUUUGAGCAGCAGAUGUGUUCAAAAAACGUACAAAAUGGGGGUGGACAGGAAGUGAAAACAAGUUGUUUAUAGAGAGUAUAAUGAUGAAACACUCUUUUUUCUGUCUGUCUGUUGUUCUUUACCCCCCUUUUAUUUGCCUAUUUACCCUUUUCUUUCAAUCUGUUUGUCCUUCUUUCGUACAUCAUAUUUGCCUAUUUGCCAUUUUCUGUCUGUCUGAUUGCCCUUUUCUUUCUGGCUGUCUAUCUGUCCUUUUGUGCCCUUCAUAAUUGCCCUUUUCUGUCUGUCUGUCUGUCUGUCUGUCUGUCUGUCUGUCUGUCUGUCUGUCUCUCUCUCUCUCUCUCUCUCUCUCUCUCUCUAUCUGUCCUUCUUUACCCCUCACAUUCUUUUUGCUUGUCUGUUUGUCCUUUUAUCGCUCAUAAUUAACCUUUUCCGUCUAGCCGUCUCUCUGUCCAUUUUAUCCCUCAUGAUUGCCCUUUUCUUUUUGUCUGCGCCUCUUCUUCCCUCAUAUUUGCCUUUUUCUGACUGUCUGUCCCUCCGUAUAUUGGUCUUUUUAUGUCUUUUCUGUCUGUCUGUCUGUCUGUCUGUCUACAUCUGUCUCUUUAUCCCUUAUAUUUUCUUUUUCUGUAUGUCUACCUGCCUUUAUCUCUCAUUUACCUUUUUCUCUUUGUCUGUCUGUCUGUCUGUUUGUCUGUCUGUCUGUCUGUCUGUCUUUAACUCUCUUGAAUUUGCCCUUUGGACAUUGUGAGUUGUGUAAGGAAUAAAACAUGACUGAAUGCUGCUGUGAUAUUUUUUUAUUUAUUUAUCGGUUUUAGUGAAACAGCUUUUCUGUGUGUUGACUGUUGCAGAGCGCUGAUACUGAAGACUCCUUUCAUUAACACUAAAUUUACAGAAAUAACUGAUUUAUUUGCAGUUUCUGCUGUGGAACAAGCUGUUACUUUAGAGCCCACUGCGUAGGAGUACGAGCAUGUGAAUAUAUAAUUAUAUAUACGUGAACUUUGUGAGACGUGUGCCAGCUGAAUCAUACGCACUACUGCUGCCUCAGCUCCUGAGAAUGUUAUCAAAAUAAAGAAUUAAAAAAUUAAACUAACUUUUUUGGGGAGUGAUUGAGGAUGUGAAAGUCCAUGUUCAGCAAAAAAGAUCAGAUUCCUCACCGGAAACCACACACACUCCUACAACGUGCAUUACACACACUCACACACACCCCUGUGAACAGCCUGUACCCUACAGCAGGGAGGUUUUAUCCGGUUUCCACAGCAUUUAAACAAAGAGGAAGCUAGU